GUAGGUGGCAAGCGUUGUCCGGAUUUACUGGGCGUAAAGGGAGCGCAGGUGGCUCAUCAAGUCUGGGGUGAAAUCUCCCGGCUCAACCGGGAGGGGUCUCUGGAUACUGAUGGGCUUGGGGUAAGCAGAGGAAAGCGGAAUUCCCGGUGUAGCGGUGAUAUGCGUAGAUAUCGGGAGGAACACCAGUGGCGAAGGCGGCUUUCUGGGCUUUUCCUGACGCUGAGGCUCGAAAGCGUGGGGAGCGAACCGGAUUAGAUACCCGGGUAGUCCACGCCGUAAACGUUGGACACUAGGUGUGGGGGUAUUGACCCCCCCUCCCGUGCCGCAGCUAACGCAUUAAGUGUCCCGCCUGGGGAGUACGGCCGCAAGGCUA
rnacentral:rRNA from 1 species